rnacentral:rRNA from 1 species
CCUACGGGCGGCAGCAGUGGGGAAUAUUGGACAAUGGGGGCAACCCUGAUCCAGCCAUGCCGCGUGUGUGAAGGAGGCCCUCGGGUUGUAAAGCACUUUCAGUGAGGAAGAACGCCUGGUGGUUAAUACCCAUCAGGAAAGACAUCACUCACAGAAGAAGCACCGGCUAACUCCGUGCCAGCAGCCGCGGUAAUACGGAGGGUGCGAGCGUUAAUCGGAAUUACUGGGCGUAAAGCGCGCGUAGGUGGCUUGAUAAGCCGGUUGUGAAAGCCCCGGGCUCAACCUGGGAACGGCAUCCGGAACUGUCAAGCUAGAGUGCAGGAGAGGAAGGUAGAAUUCCCGGUGUAGCGGUGAAAUGCGUAGAGAUCGGGAGGAAUACCAGUGGCGAAGGCGGCCUUCUGGACUGACACUGACACUGAGGUGCGAAAGCGUGGGUAGCAAACAGGAUUAGAUACCCUGGUAGUC